UUGGACUGAUAUGGGGUGGAGGGGGCAUGCAAGAAAGGAUCAUUAUUAUUAUUAUUUUUGCUGCUGUAGAAUUGGUGUGUUGGAGGGAAAAGAAAUAUGAUGAUGUGCUGUCCCUGAGAAUGAUUUUUAAGUCCUAGAUGCCUUUGCGAGUGAGGUGGUACUGAUCUCUUCUGGUGAGAAAACAUCUGAGGAGAUCUGGUUCUACUGAGGAGCCAAAGAGAAAGGCAGGAGGGUUGUAUUUCAUGAUGCUCUAAGAACUGAACUACACAGGGAGGAAGGGAUGAGGGGCCAGCCAAGGCUCACCCAAGGAAGGGACAGAGCCAUCGUCCUGACUGGUUGCUGGGAUGUGAGAAUGGUGGUGAGGAAAGCCAGCACUGCAGCCUUCUGUAGCUCUUUUUCAGUCUUUGAAUUUCCUCCAGGUCCAUCCAGCUGGCUGUGCAGGUAGCACUGGCUAACACCAGAUACCUCAGCAGUCCUCUCCAGAACUGAUGCAAUGGUGUGUGCUCAGGCAUCUGGUUGGAAUGAAAUGAACUCCUCUUCAUGAAGUCAGCGGACAGAAGGAGAAAUUGCUCAGUGUAACCUUUGGAGAAGUCAUACGCUAUCAUCACUCUUCCUCUCCACCCACUGAGCUACAGCUGAGGUGACAUGGGAUCGGACGAUUCAGAGAAGAACCUCAGGGCAGGGCUGCCUGAAAUAUCCAGGAACAGGCAGGCACUAAAUCGAGCUCAGCAGCAGAUCUGCUCUGCACACCACUGCUCACUGCUGCAGCUGGUAUGAGUACGACCGUCACUGCGCUCUCACUACGACAGCCCUUUCAUAUGAUACAUGAGAUGUUCCUGGCCUGGUUUCAAAGGGCAAAGGGGAGAAGGAUAACAGAGCCGACUCUGGCUUUUGAGCAUUUUGUUUACUGGAACAUCCUUUUAACCAUGCAACAGAGUACACUGCUGGGUUAAGGGAAAGUCAUUAAUGUUGCCCUUGGUAAGUGGAUCAAGUAAUAGUGCCAUAUGCUCUGAUGCAGUAAAAUGCAAUCACUGCCUAGAAGCCUUUGCAUUUGGAAAAAAAAAAAAAGAAAAAAGAAAAAAUAAGAGUAAUUUUUGCUUGCUUUGCAUUACUCUGGGGAUAUACACCAUUGCUUCUUCAUCAGUAUCACUAAAGUACCAAAGUGUACUGAUUGCACCUGUGCAAAUCAGAGAUCUAGGAGAUACAGGAAACACUUUCCUCCUUAAAUAAGUUUCUCCACUGCCUGAGUUUGUUUUAAAGCAAAGUCUGCUUCUUCUCUUGUUCAUAGAAUCAGAGCUCUGUGCCACCACUCCUUGUUCCGGGGAUUUGCUUAUUAUAACUUCACCGCUGCAGACUUAGAUGUUCUCUGAAGACCACCAUGAGGCUGGGUCCCCAUACCCAGCCGCUGAGGCACAGAGCUCACUAGAGGUACUAGAGGUACCAUGUCAGUUCCAUGAAACCAUCAUAAAGACAGAAAAAAAAUUCAGCAAAUGGCAAAUUAGUGGCAUUGGACCUGGUGUGCUCUUUGUGAGAGGCUCAAUUCUAUGCUGGCUCACAUCUUAAUCCACCCCAGCUCACACACACUAAGCAUAAAUCAGCACAGGGUCUGGCCUCUGUACUGUGCAAACAUUAACUAAUUAAUCCUCCUUAUAGCCACUGGAGGCUGCAAAGGAGUUAUUAUUAUACUUCUCUUCAAGAGUGUGCAACUGAAGCAGAGAGGAUAAAUGAUUAAAGAAAACAGAUAUAAUGAUUGUCUGAACUUGGGUGCAGAAGGACUUUUGGACAUUUCUGGAGCACCCUUCACCUGGUUUUUUUUAGCAGUCUCAGUUGAGGAAUAAGCAGGAGGAAUUUUGUGAGCUACUUUUAGAAAAGCUCUAGGGCCUUAUCCUCAUCUUUGUUACACUUAUAAAUCUGGAGAAAUUCUAUUUGCUCCUUGAGGACACACAAGGGGUUUACAGGAAUGUUGAAAAUAAGAAUCUGGCCCAUCACAUUAACAUAAAAUGUGAGGAAAAAGUACCCAACAACAAGCAAAGGGCAAUACAGACAAUAGGUUUCUUAUGAGCAAAUUGGCUGUUUGUUUGCCUUUUUUUUUUUCCCCUACAUUAAUGCUGUCCAGGCCUCCCCUGUGUAUUCUCAAGGAAAUGACUUUGUUAUAUCAGUGAAGUAUAUUGAAAAUGAAAUCAGUGGUAGCACCAAAUGUGCCCAGACAUGACAAGACUUUUAAAUAACAACAGAAGAAUUCCAUCUCCUUUCCUGUUUGUUCCACGUUAACUUAUGGAGAUUGGUGCUGACUUUCUGGAAUGGCUGCAGCAAGCUGUAAAUGAUGUAUGAAAAUGAAAUGAAAAAUCUCUGCCCAGGCCACUGUGCACAGCAAUCGCUGCUGAGCCAAAUUAAUAGCUGUUUGCUCCUGUACACUCUGACAUGAGAUGGAGACAGCGAAGCCAGCAGCACAGAAAUUGGCACAACCACCCACAAAUAUCCUGGCCAGGAUAUCUGUUGAUUCUUCCUUCACCCAGUCCUGUUGUCAGUGGUGGAGUCCUUUAGAGAUAUAAAAGGGAAGAGACCCAGAUGUUUGCAGCCCUUCCUGGAAAAGCUGAGGGAUUCACACACAGAAGGUAACAAGUUAGGUGGUGAUGACACCUUCUUGGGACCUCCUUUUUCCUGCCUCCAUUUCCUGACUUUGUUUAUUGUCUUCUUCCCCAUUUCUAUCCAACUGUAUCUCUGUUGCAACAUCAACACCCCUGGGCAUCGGGGCUGUGCAGGUGAAAGAGGCUUGCAUCAAAUGGGCGUAAUUAAGUGAGCACAUGUGUGUGGGUACAAUUAACACCUAGUGAUUAUGUCAGUAACAUGGUGGGCAUGGUGACAAAGGGCAUUUCUGUUGACCCAGUUACUGAAAGGCUCUCUGGUAGUCACGCUGCAGUGCAAAACUGCAAACAGUGAUUAUUAAUACCAUUAAAAAUUCAUGCAAGCUCAGGUUCUGCAAAUGCUCUGCCAUGUGAACAGUCUCUGCGGAGAUAAAGAGGGCAUGACAGCAAGUGUAGAAAGCUGAUGUCCGGGCUAAUGAUGUGCUGGCUACAAGUUGCCCCUCAGAGCUUUGGGCUCGACGUACCCCUGUGCCCUCAGCUGCUGGGCCCACCAGGUGUUUCUGCAAGCAGCCCCCACCUGGCAUCCCCCCUUGGACAUUCACCAUGUAGCUCUUUGCUCCCUCCCUUGCUCCUUUUUGCAUGGGUAACUUCUGCAAGUGCGAAGUAAAAACAAGAGAAAUUAAAAAAUAAUAUGAAUUAAGCAAAAUGCCCUUUGUGUGAUACUCCUUCGCAGCCUAGAAGCAAAGGGAGAUGGGAUUUAAUUUAGGCCAGUCCUCUGCUGCAUUUCAGAUAAAGGAUUUUUAAUCUAGUCGUAGGUUGAUAAAAAUACCCCUCUCUGAUCCUGCAGGCAACUUUUUCUGCCAAUUUUCUUUCCAGAGAGGAAGAGAGGGGAAAAAAUAAUUGAAAGAACACUGCCGCAUAGAAAAUGACACUGACGAAGUAAUGCACUUUGGAACUGCGUGCUCUGCCAGCUCCGUGUUUACUAUUUUUUCCUCCUUUUACUUCAGAAAUUUCAAGCUAUUGGUAAUCAUCAGCAUGAUUAGGUGGUGUUUUUUUUUUUUUUCCUUUUUUUUUUUUUUUUUCCACUGAGCUUUAGCUCAGGUACCAGUCUUUUAAAUACAAAAUGAUUUCUCCAUUCUGGAGUGUUAUUUCAACUUUCACAGUACAGCUUGUUCUGUUCCACCCCAAGCAGAAAAUUUUCAGGGUUAAUUUAUUCAUCUAAUUGCUGGAUGCACAUGUGGUAUUGCAGUCCACAGUGAUUUUAUGGACUUAAGGCUAUGGUAAUGACUUAAUAAACAUGCAUGUGUACAUGAUUUGAAGGGAAUAUAUUCUCUUGAAUGUAAUGUUUCAGAAAACACAGCAUGAAAAAUAAAAGGGUGGCCAGAGGCAUAUCUCAGUGGAGUGAAAUGCUGAGUUUUAGUAUUUUUUACAAUUAAGGACUCUGUUUAGACCAGGUAUUACCUGUCCA